GGAAAUUACCGGGCUUGAGAUCAGUGGCGGCAGGCAGGAAUCGUGGUGUAGGCGGUGAAAUGCAUAGAUAUCACGAGGAACUCCGAUUGCGAAGGCAGCUUGCCAUACUGCGACUGACACUGAAGCACGAAAGGCGUGGGUAUCAAACAGGAUUAGAUACCCUGGUAGUCCACGCAGUAAACGAUGAUUACUAGGAGUUUGCGAUAUACCGUCAAGCUUCCACAGCGAAAGCGUUAAGUAAUCCACCUGGGGAGUACGCCGGCAACGGUGAAACUCAAAGGAAUUGACGGGGGCCCGCACAAGCGGAGGAACAUGUGGUUUAAUUCGAUGAUACGCGAGGAACCUUACCCGGGAUUGAAAUGUAGAUGACGGAUGGUGAAACCGUCUUCCCUUCGGGGCUUCUAUGUAGGUGCUGCAUGGUUGUCGUCAGCUCGUGCCGUGAGGUGUCGGCUUAAGUGCCAUAACGAGCGCAACCCACAUCGGUAGUUGCUAACAGUUUUCGCUGAGGACUCUACCGAGACUGCCGUCGUAAGGCGUGAGGAAGGUGUGGAUGACGUCAAAUCAGCACGGCCCUUACAUCCGGGGCGACACACGUGUUACAAUGGGAGGGACAAAGGGCAGCUACCGGGCGACCGGAUGCGAAUCUCUAAACCCUUCCCCAGUUCGGAUCGGAGUCUGCAACUCGACCCCGUGAAGCUGGAUUCGCUAGUAAUCGCGCAUCAGCCAUGGCGCGGUGAAUACGUUCCCGGGCCUUGUACACCCCGCCCGUCAAGCCAUGGGAGUCGGGGGUUCAUGAAGGGCGUAACCGCAAGGGGCGCACUAGGGUAAUACCGGCGCCUUUUUUAAGUCGUAACAAGGUAGCC
rnacentral:rRNA from 1 species